rnacentral:ncRNA from 1 species
UUCCUUCGGGGUAGGGUGCAAUUCCCAAUCGGCGGUUAUAGCCCGCGAGCUUUCGAGCAGGAUUCGGUGAAAUUCCGGAGCCGACAGUAUAGUCUGGAUGAGAGAAGGA